UUUCAGGCUCCUUCUGCCUGAAUGAGCAGCUUGUGUCUGCAGUGUGGUGCUUUUUCAGGAGGAUUUCUGGCACACAUGGAAAUAAAACUUCAUUCUGGCAUACCUGAAAGGAAAAGGAUUCCGUGAUGCAACCAGUCCAACGUUAGGAACACGGACCGACGCUUCUACAAACCCGUGAAGGUUGGCAGGCUCCGAGUGGUAGAUGUACUUCCCCUGCUCGGCUAUGGUGGGCGCGUGGUGGGCGCUCUGGCUGGCCUUCAGCGGGUGGUAGUGACUCUUCAGUUCCACGUGGGUUGUCGGCAGGGUCAUGUGAUUUGUAGUCCGGAUUUUCCCGUUGGUGUCAGACACCCUGGACUGCGGUCCCUCCGGAUCGGGGCGCUUGCGCUGCGUGACCGGAGAGAACACCUUGACCACGUGGAUGUCCGGGACGCAAGUGGCUUUUGGCAGCUUCUCCGAGUGGGCCAGCUGGAGUUUCUUCAUGUGGUUGAUGGCUACAGCGGCAUUGAACGCUUGCUGUCAACAUAAGGGACAUCUAAGAGGCUGUCCGGGCCAGCAAAUAAUCACCACUUCAGUUUCCUUGACAUCGGCAACGUUGAUUACAACACAACAUCUAUUCAAUUGGCCUUAAUCAGGGGGAUUUGGGUAACCGCUUAAUUGAUCUACUGUAAACUGCAGGCCCUCAAUGGGCUUAACAAAUCCUGGAAAUCAGUGACGACUGACCUUCCACUUGGCCUUGGCAAAGUUCUUUUGGAUCUGAUCGCUGACUGAGUUGUAGAUGUCCUGGCUCCGGGCCGUUUUUCCAAUUAUCCUAGGAAACCACGACACAAAUUUUUCCAGGAAGGCAGUUAAUCCCGUGUCCAUGAAUGUGGCGUAACACAAGAGUAGAACCUUGUUUGUGUUCGCCAUGUAUCAUAUAUAUUUAGAAUAUUACUUUAACAUGGCACUUGAAGCGCUGGCAGUGAAAAGUUUAUUUGGCCCCAUGGUGAGGUAUUUUGCAAUUA